rnacentral:rRNA from 1 species
UAGGGAAUCUUCCGCAAUGGGCGAAAGCCUGACGGAGCAACGCCGCGUGAGUGAUGAAGGUCUUCGGAUCGUAAAACUCUGUUAUUAGGGACGAACAAAUGUGUAAGUAACUAUGCACGUCUUGACGGUACCUAAUCAGAAAGCCACGGCUAACUACGUGCCAGCAGCCGCGGUAAUACGUAGGUGGCAAGCGUUAUCCGGAAUUAUUGGGCGUAAAGCGCGCGUAGGCGGUUUUUUAAGUCUGAUGUGAAAGCCCACGGCUCAACCGUGGAGGGUCAUUGGUAACUGGAAGGCUUGAGUGCAUAAGAGGAAAGUGGAAUUCCAUGUGUAGCGGUGAAAUGCGCAGAGAUAUGGAGGAACACCAGUGGCGAAGGCGACUUUCUGGUCUGUAACUGACGCUGAUGUGCGAAAGCGUGGGGAUCAAACAGG